GCGCCGGCGGUGUUUUUCCCAGCGGCCGGGAUCCCCGCCGUUUUUCGUUCAGUCAACAGGGGAAGUGGCGCGGGGGCUUGCGGCACCCGCAGGAGCAGCUUGUGCGUUAUGUCGUGAGCGGAGCCUGCUGGAGCCGAGGAUCAGACUAGAUGGCCCGGGAGGCCCCUCCCGACUCGCGCUGUUUCUAUGUUUCUAUGGCUGUGUGCUGUGAUGUUUUCUUCUGCCCUCCUCAUCCGCUUUUCCUCGUGUGUUGUGUCUUUCUUGAAAUAGCAGUGCCUCCAGGCUGGGACUGUCCCUUUCAGUCGAUUGAUUUUAAGCUGCUCCAGGAGCCUUCCCUUUGGAGGCAGGAACAGGAUUAAAAACAAAACUAAUGAAAUUAUUUUAACGGACUAUAGUCCACAGCCUCCGGGCCUGAUGAUUUACUGGGCUUCAAGAUGAAAACUUCACAUGUUGUCACUACUGUUCACCAAGAUUCCCCGGCCUCCCUUCUGAAACAUCAAUUUAGGCAGCUACCUGCCCUGCCUUUUCUGCAGAAAACGAAGGACUCGGCCCACCUUUCCUGCCAGCUACUCCUCCUCCUCCCCUACAUCUUUGAUUCCGUUUCUGCCUGACAGACCAAGUGCUUCUAGCCGUUUUCUGGUGCAUUUAACAAAUCUUUGUGGGCCUUAAUGCUGUUCUUAGUAUAUUCCCAACUAUUUUUUUAACCUC